UAGACAGAAAAGAGGAGGAAAGGGACAUAUAGGGAGGGGGGAAAAAAAGAGUCUGGUCUUAUGAUGAGUCGAGGCACGUAUCUCCGCUCAACCGUGUCUUUCUGGGCUUCGAGCUCGCAGCUGCGGCGGCGAGUAUUGAAUUCAGAUGCGCCCUGUCUCUCCGCUCCGGCCGCUACAGGUGGAAAUGCUCUUAUCAAUACGGACUGUCCGAGCCUGACUGCGGGCCGAUCCGUCUCAUUGAUGAUUUUAGGUGCCCCUGCCCACCCUCACCUCCCCGAGGAGCCCGAUUGAUUAAUGUCUGGGUCACACCGGUAUUUCCAUAUUGAUACCUCGAUUGAUGACGGCGCUUCAGGAACAAGCCGUAUUGACCAGCUGGAAAGUGAUACGUUUCAAAGCGCUUGGCGGACGUAUUAAUGCGUAAUGGGCACAAUGAGCGUCAGACGCGUGUAUGGAAGCCGGGACAUCCAUGACGCGCAAAUGCAUCCCAUAAAUAUAGUCUACAGGUUCAAAUCAGCAAUCCCAGAUAGCCUGUGAAAAAUCAAUAUCAAUAUAAUGUCCUCAUUACGCAUAAUAGCCGGGUAAAAUAUAGUUGCUGGAAGACAUUAUUAGUAGUACAUCAUUAUUAGUAGUAGUUUUCACGUUCCCUUAUUAUAAAAUAAAACUGAUUACCAGGAGGAAGUUCACCAAUUAAAGCAGCAAAACGGACCAAUGAGGAAAGUUAAUCAGGACUCAGAUUGGUAGAAAAACAAACCAAUAACAUUAUUUAAUCAAAGCUGUGUACGUAGCGUGCACAGGCGUAUUAUUAAAUAACCUUACUUUAUUGCAUUUAUGUGAGUUGCAUACCUUGAACAGUAUCACGGCAAAAAAAAUGACCACAGGGACGAGCAGGAUCCUCCAAACAGUGUGAACAAAUUAAGUUAUAUUUAAGAUUCCAACGAAUAUCAGGACCUGUUAUGUUGAAUACCAAUCAGCAGCAUUUGGUUUCUAUGAAAGAAGAAUGUGCAAAACAGAUCUGGCAAUGAGUAGUGGGGUUUUCGCACAAGAUGAGACAGCCUCAAAUAAGCGUUGUGCCAGCUUUGCAGGUGCAUCUUUAAGAAAGAGAACCUGCAAAGAUAUUUAAAAAAAAAAAAAAAAAACGAUAUACAGUAAGUGCUGCUGAUAUCCAUAAAACCCGAAAUGACUUUGUGGCUGUUUAUCUGCAGUUAUGAUUUCCAUAUAAAGUUGUUGUUGUUUUUUUUUUGUCAGGUGUUUACAUGGAUUGUCAGCACGUCACUACUGCUGCUGUGUGAUCUAUUUCUGUGAUAUUUGCACGGUAUCUUUCUAAAGGUGGCUGGAUCUUCUUUAUCGGGUCAAGUGCACAUGCUGCAUAAUGCAGAACAACUCCACAGAGAGCUCACUGUUGUGAACCCAAUUUUGCAGACACCCUAAUUUAAAGGACAGGCAGACAACGACAUGAUUCAGUGGGACUUGUUCUGCUUGUUGUGGAGAUUACUUUGGAGGCAGAGGGCAUUGUGUGGAGAUGAUAGUUGGCGAGGAAAAAAAAAAUAAAGCAUUGAGCAGAACUGAUCACACUUUGAGGGUCAGUGGUCGAAAUGGGCGCUCGGCCUGCAGGUCUUUGCGACAAGGAUCAAGGGCCCCGAUGUAUAUCUGCUGAUUACAUCUCCUGAAGUGGAAAAAAUGCAAAUAAUAAAUGUAUGAGCAACGUGCUUGUUUUUUUGCUUGAUUAAUUAUGCCGUUUAAUUCCAGAUCCACCACGCCGCUCCACCGUAUAAUUUCCCAGUGGUCUUGGCUGUUUCUUCUCUCACAUGCGCUCUCUCCUUUUUCUCCUCAUUGCAAAAUGAAUCAUGGAUCCAACCGUCUGCACCCGGGGGAGAGCGGCGAGCUGGCGAACGGGCUGACCAAUCAUGAGCAUCAGAGGCAGACACACAGACGGAGGGAGCCUUUUGUUGUGCACUGCGCUCAUCAAGUUAGAAAACAACCACCGAUUUGGCCUGAAGAAAAUUAAAAGAUGGAGUGCUGCCCAAUGUGUGUUUAUCUGAGUGGGUGGCAGAAUUUCAGCGCCAUUCAUAAUGUCAACUGGGAUCCUGACUGCUCUUCUAUUCCCAGGCUGGCCAACCCUCUCUCAGCCUCCUGACAGUUCCAGAACAGGCAGUUUCCUGUCACCGCACUGAACUGACCACAGCCGAUAGCAUGUGUAGACAGGCGGAGAAACAAGGUCAGACAUGGGUGUGACUGUCUCGCUGACUGCUACAGUCGUCACAAUCUAUUCCUCAUCCGUGUGCUGAUCCGCGCGCAGAGGAACACACUGAGCCGGGUUUAUUCUCCAGCUGCAGGUUGUGUUGCUUCCAGGAGCGCCCGGCAUUUGUGAUGGGAACACCUGUAAUGCUGUUCGGCGAGGCAAGCCUCCGGUACCAAAACUCAAACACACACUGUCACACACACACACACACACGCACUCACGGAGUCAGAUAUUCCCCGCAAGUCUCCUUCAAGGACGCCUGGGGAAGACUUGGAGGACAAAAUCACACACUCCCUCUCCCAGUGUCUCAGACGCGCUGCACUUCUAAUGCAGACAGAAAGCCUCCUCCAAAGAGACUAUAGGCACACACAAACUCUCUCUCCCUCCUGUGCAGGCGCACACUUAAAUACACAAACACCCCAAAAGGCCCUGCCACCUUCCCGUCCAUGUGAGAAAAGCGGGACAUUUUAGCCUGUUGUCUCCCCUAUUUUCGCU